rnacentral:rRNA from 1 species
CAGUCGCCGCGGGAAUACGAAGGGUGCAAGCGUUACUCGGAAUUACUGGGCGUAAAGCGUGCGUAGGUGGUGGUUUAAGUCCGUUGUGAAAGCCCUGGGCUCAACCUGGGAAUUGCAGUGGAUACUGGGUCACUAGAGUGUGGUAGAGGAUAGUGGAAUUUCCGGUGUAGCAGUGAAAUGCGUAGAGAUCGGAAGGAACAUCUGUGGCGAAGGCGACUAUCUGGGCCAUCACUGACACUGAGGCACGAAAGCGUGGGGAGCAAACAGGAUUAGAUACCCGCGUAGUCCCUGUCUCUUAUAC